GGUCAUGAGACUCAGCGCAAAGCCCCGGCUUGCUGAGCGGCAACCCUCCACCGCGGUGGGGUGCCCCGGGAGACGACCAGGCUCUACCUGCCCGGGCGAGCGCCGCGUUAUCUGCGGCACACUCGCGAGAAUUCGGGUAUCGGUGGUAGCAAGCGCGGGUC
rnacentral:ncRNA from 1 species